UACGGGGGGCAAGCGUUGUUCGGAAUUACUGGGCGUAAAGGGCUCGUAGGCGGCCAACUAAGUCAGACGUGAAAUCCCUCGGCUUAACCGGGGAACUGCGUCUGAUACUGGAUGGCUCGAGUUUGGGAGAGGGAUGCGGAAUUCCAGGUGUAGCGGUGAAAUGCGUAGAUAUCUGGAGGAACACCGGUGGCGAAGGCGGCAUCCUGGACCAACACUCGAACGCUGAUGAGCGAAAGCCAGGGGAGCAAACGGGG
rnacentral:rRNA from 1 species